rnacentral:rRNA from 1 species
AGCAGUAAGGAAUAUUGGUCAAUGGACGCAAGUCUGAACCAGCCAUGCCGCGUGAAGGAUGAAGGUCUCUGGAUUGUAAACUUCUUUUAUAGGGGGCGAAAAAGGUUUUUCUAAAUCACUUGACAGUACCCUAUGAAUAAGCACCGGCUAACUCCGUGCCAGCAGCCGCGGUAAUACGGAGGGUGCAAGCGUUAUCCGGAUUCACUGGGUUUAAAGGGUGCGUAGGCGGGUAGGUAAGUCAGAGGUGAAAUCCUGGAGCUUAACUCCAGAACUGCCUUUGAUACUAUCUAUCUUGAAUAUGGUGGAGGUAAGCGGAAUAUGUCAUGUAGCGGUGAAAUGCAUAGAUAUGACAUAGAACACCUAUUGCGAAGGCAGCUUACUACGCCUAUAUUGACGCUGAGGCACGAAAGCGUGGGGAUCAAACAGGAUUAGAUACCCUGGUAGUCCACGCCCUAAACGAUGAUUACUCGACGUAUGCGAUACAAGUAUGCGUCUGAGCGAAAGCAUUAAGUAAUCCACCUGGGAAGUACGACCGCAAGGUUGAAACUCAAG